GUAGUCAUAUGCUUGUCUCAAAGAUUAAGCCAUGCAUGUCUAAGUAUAAGCAAUUAUACCGUGAAACUGCGAAUGGCUCAUUAAAUCAGUUAUCGUUUAUUUGAUAGUACCUUACUACUUGGAUAACCGUGGUAAUUCUAGAGCUAAUACAUGCUGAAAACCCCAACUUCGGAAGGGGUGUAUUUAUUAGAUAAAAAACCAAUGCCCUUCGGGGCUCCUUGGUGAUUCAUAAUAACUUCUCAGAUCGCAUGGCCUUGCGCCGGCGACGGUUCAUUCAAAUUUCUGCCCUAUCAACUUUCGAUGGUAAGGUAUUGGCUUACCAUGGUUUCAACGGGUAACGGGGAAUUAGGGUUCGAUUCCGGAGAGGGAGCCUGAGAAACGGCUACCACAUCCAAGGAAGGCAGCAGGCGCGCAAAUUACCCAAUCCCGACACGGUGAGGUAGUGACAAUAAAUACUGAUACAGGGCUCUUUUGGGUCUUGUAAUUGGAAUGAGUACAAUUUAAACCUCUUAACGAGGAACAAUUGGAGGGCAAGUCUGGUGCCAGCAGCC
rnacentral:rRNA from 1 species